rnacentral:rRNA from 1 species
CGGACAAAUAAGUUUGAUGUCAAAUAUGAUGGCUCAACCAUCAAGAGGCGUUGAAAACUGUUUAUCUGGAAUCUCGGAGAGGUAAGUGGAAUUCCAUGUGUUAGGUCGGUGGAAUGCGUAGAUAUAUGGAGGAACACCAAUGGCGAAGGCAGCUUACUGGACGAAGAUUGACGCUGAGGUGCGAAAGCGUGGGUAGCAAACAGGAUUAGAUACCCUGGUAG